rnacentral:misc_RNA from 1 species
GGAAGUAAAAGUCGGAACAAGGUCUCCGUUGGUGAACCAGCGGAGGGAUCAUUACCGAGUGCAAACUCAUAACCCUUUGUGAACCUAUAUCUGUUGCUUCGGCGGCUCGCUCUCGGGCGAGCCCGCCGGUAAUAUCAGUAUCUCUGUUUGAACCCGACGAUACUUCUGAGUGUUCUUAGCGAACAGUUAAAACUUUUAACAACGGAUCUCUUGGCUCUA